CGGCGGACGGGUGAGUAACACGUGGGCAACCUGCCUGUAAGACUGGGAUAACUUCGGGAAACCGAAGCUAAUACCGGAUAGGAUCUUCUCCUUCAUGGGAGAUGAUUGAAAGAUGGUUUCGGCUAUCACUUACAGAUGGGCCCGCGGUGCAUUAGCUAGUUGGUGAGGUAACGGCUCACCAAGGCAACGAUGCAUAGCCGACCUGAGAGGGUGAUCGGCCACACUGGGACUGAGACACGGCCCAGACUCCUACGGGAGGCAGCAGUAGGGAAUCUUCCGCAAUGGACGAAAGUCUGACGGAGCAACGCCGCGUGAGUGAUGAAGGCUUUCGGGUCGUAAAACUCUGUUGUUAGGGAAGAACAAGUACGAGAGUAACUGCUCGUACCUUGACGGUACCUAACCAGAAAGCCACGGCUAACUACGUGCCAGCAGCCGCGGUAAUACGUAGGUGGCAAGCGUUAUCCGGAAUUAUUGGGCGUAAAGCGCGCGCAGGCGGUUUCUUAAGUCUGAUGUGAAAGCCCACGGCUCAACCGUGGAGGGUCAUUGGAAACUGGGGAACUUGAGUGC
rnacentral:rRNA from 1 species